UACAGAGGGGGCAAGCGUUGCUCGGAAUUACUGGGCGUAAAGGGCGCGUAGGCGGCCUGCUAAGUCGAACGUGAAAUCCCUGGGCUCAACCCAGGAACUGCGUCCGAUACUGCUCGACUUGAAGGCAGGAGAGGGAAGUGGAAUUCCCGGUGUAGUGGUGAAAUGCGUAGAGAUCGGGAGGAAGGCCGGUGGCGAAGGCAGCGCUCUGGAACGUAUCUGACGCUGAGAACACGAAAGCGUGGGGGAGCAAACAGG
rnacentral:rRNA from 1 species